rnacentral:rRNA from 1 species
UACGGGGGGGGGCAAGCGUUGUUCGGAAUUACUGGGCGUAAAGGGCUCGUAGGCGGCCAACUAAGUCGGACGUGAAAUCCCCAGGCUCAACCUGGGAACUGCAUCCGAUACUGGAUGGCUUGAAUUCGGGAGAGGGAUGCAGAAUUCCAGGUGUAGCGGUGAAAUGCGUAGAUAUCUGGAGGAAUACCGGUGGCGAAGGCGGCAUCCUGGACCGACAUUGACGCUGACGGAGCGAAAGC